ACGGGUGAGUAACGCGUGGGUAACCUACCCUGUACACACGGAUAACAUACCGAAAGGUAUGCUAAUACGGGAUAAUAUAUUUGAGAGGCAUCUCUUAAAUAUCAAAGGUGAGCCAGUACAGGAUGGACCCGCGUCUGAUUAGCUAGUUGGUAAGGUAACGGCUUACCAAGGCAACGAUCAGUAGCCGACCUGAGAGGGUGAUCGGCCACAUUGGAACUGAGACACGGUCCAAACUCCUACGGGAGGCAGCAGUGGGGAAUAUUGCACAAUGGGCGAAAGCCUGAUGCAGCAACGCCGCGUGAGUGAUGAAGGCCUUCGGGUCGUAAAACUCUGUCCUCAAGGAAGAUAAUGACGGUACUUGAGGAGGAAGCCCCGGCUAACUACGUGCCAGCAGCCGCGGUAAUACGUAGGGGGCUAGCGUUAUCCGGAUUUACUGGGCGUAAAGGGUGCGUAGGCGGUCUUUCAAGUCAGGAGUGAAAGGCUACGGCUCAACCGUAGUAAGCUCUUGAAACUGGGAGACUUGAGUGCAGGAGAGGAGAGUGGAAUUCCUAGUGUAGCGGUGAAUUGCGUAGAUAUUAGGAGGAACACCAGUUGCGAAGGCGGCUCUCUGGACUGUAACUGACGCUGAGGCACGAAAGCGUGGGGAGCAAACAGGAUUAGAUACCCUGGUAGUCCACGCUGUAAACGAUGAGUACUAGGUGUCGGGGGUUACCCCCUUCGGUGCCGCAGCUAACG
rnacentral:rRNA from 1 species